AAAAAACGAAUAAUAUUCACUUGUAUAAAUUCAACGAUAAGGGUUGAAUGUUUCUACCAAGCUACCGUAAAUUGCUAUAGGGCUAUAAGUGUCUACUAAAAAAUU
rfam:Clostridium sp. DL-VIII chromosome, whole genome shotgun sequence.